GCCAGGCGUGGUGGCGCACACCUGUAGUCCCAGCUACCUGGGAGGCUGAGGCAGGAGAAUCACUUGAACCUGGGAGGCAGAGAUUGCAGUGAGCUGAGAUUGUACCACUGCACUCCAGCCUGGGUGACAGAGUGAGACUCUGUCUCCA
ensembl:misc_RNA Metazoa_SRP Metazoan signal recognition particle RNA